ACUAACAGAGCUAACAAGUUCUUUACCUUAACCAAAAGGUCUAGGUAAUCUUGUUAAACUCUAUUGUGCUAGGGAUAGAGCAUUGCAAUUAUUACUCUUUAAU
rnacentral:rRNA from 1 species